CAGCAGCAGCCACGGUAAUACAGAGGGUGCGAGCGUUAAUCGGAUUUACUGGGCGUAAAGCGUGCGUAGGCGGCUAAUUGAGUCGGAUGUGAAAUCCCCGAGCUUAACUUGGGAAUUGCAUUCGAUACUGGUUAGCUAGAGUGUGGGAGAGGAUGGUAGAAUUCCAGGUGUAGCGGUGAAAUGCGUAGAGAUCUGGAGGAAUACCGAUGGCGAAGGCAGCCAUCUGGCCUAACACUGACGCUGAGGUACGAAAGCAUGGGGAGCAAACAGGAUUAGAUACCCCUGUAGUCCCUGUCUCUUAUAC
rnacentral:rRNA from 1 species